CCUACGGGUGGCAGCAGUGGGGAAUAUUGCACAAUGGGGGAAACCCUGAUGCAGCGACGCCGCGUGAGUGAAGAAGUACUUCGUUAUGUAAAGCUCUAUCAGCAGGGAAGAAAAUGACGGUACCUGAGUAAGAAGCCCCGGCUAACUACGUGCCAGCAGCCGCGGUAAUACGUAGGGGGCAAGCGUUAUCCGGAUUUACUGGGUGUAAAGGGAGCGUAGACGGCAGUGCAAGUCUGGAGUGAAAGGCGGGGGCUCAACCCCCGGACUGCUCUGGAAACUGUACGGCUUGAGUGCAGGAGAGGUAAGUGGAAUUCCUAGUGUAGCGGUGAAAUGCGUAGAUAUUAGGAGGAACACCAGUUGCGAAGGCGGCUUACUAGACUGUAACUGACGUUGAGGCUCGAAAGCGUGGGGAGCAAACAGGAUUAGAUACCCGAGUAGUC
rnacentral:rRNA from 1 species